rnacentral:lncRNA from 1 species
GUAACAUAUUUUCUGUUUUAUUUUAGGUCCAUCAUUAAAUCUGAACCAGACAGAUCUGAAUUUGUUCUUCAGCUGGGCACAGCAACCCAGAGAGACAUCAUGGUUACCGAGGGUCACUGAUGCUUGAAGAUCUCUUCAAACAAGAACAAAGAAGCCAAGAAUCAGUGGACGUGGUGUCCUGGUACUUUUGCUCUGGAACUUCUGAUACUCACCCAGUGGCUCCUCAUCUCUUCAGAUGUCACACACACUGUGGCAGUUGUGUCCUGGUUUCAGCUAGCAUAAAGUUAAUUUUCUUCGGUGGCUGGUAUGGUUCUGUGUUUUCGAUUUAGGAUGAAAAUAAUGCUGAUAACACACCAACAUUUUAGUUGUUGCUGAGCAAUGCUUACACAGAGCCAAGGAUUUUCCUGCUUCUUGUGUUGCCCUGCCAGUGAGGAGGCUGGGGGCGCACCACAAGCUGAUUUGCUCCUGGUAAUUAGGUAGUUCACUAAAAUAAUAUCUUUCUAAAUUUAUAUCAAUAAUAUCAUUUCAGUGCAUACAUUUUUAAAAGACUGUGAAAAAAAAAAAGGAAAAAAAAAGAAAAAGUUUACAAUGAAGUCUUUUGGCCAAAAAUGCAAUCUGUAGGGCAAUGCACAACAAGGUUGUUUUGCUAUGCAGGGAAGGUCUGAUAAUUUAGAUGCAUGACUUGUUUUAAACCUCAUAGAGUAAUAUUUGUUGUGAGUUACCUGAGUAAAUCUGUGUUUAAUCCCUUGGUGAUGACAGUCAGAAUUUCUCAACUCUAAGCUUUGUGUGUUAACACUUAGCAUUUGGAAAUCCUGAUUAGCAGCACAGGUAGUCAGAGGAGUAGAACCAAACAAUAGAUGAGGUUUCUGUGGAAAGCUGUUCAUAGCAGACAGCUAAAUAAAUAAAACAAGCUUCCUUCA